GGGGAAUUUUCCGCAAUGGGCGAAAGCCUGACGGAGCAAUACCGCGUGAGGGAGGAAUGCCUUUGGGUUGUAAACCUCUUUUCUCAGGGAAGAAGAUCUGACGGUACCUGAGGAAUAAGUAUCGGCUAACUCCGUGCCAGCAGCCGCGGUAAUACGGAGGAUGCAAGCGUUAUCCGGAAUCAUUGGGCGUAAAGCGUCCGCAGGUGGUUUCCAAAGUCUGCUGUUAAAGACUGGAGCUCAACUCCGGAACGACGGUGGAAACUUGGAAACUAGAGUUCGGUAGGGGUAGCAGGAAUUCCCAGUGUAGCGGUGAGAUGCGUAGAUAUUGGGAAGAACAUCGGUGGCGAAGGCGUGCUACUGGACCGUAACUGACACUCAGGGACGAAAGCUAGGGGAGCGAAAGGGAUUAGAUACCCCUGUAGUCCUAGCUGUAAACGAUGGAAACUAGGUGUGGCUUG
rnacentral:rRNA from 1 species